CAGGCAAGGCCUACCAGUACGGGGGUGUGGUUGGCUAAUUAGUCCAAGACUUUUUAAGCAGGCACUGGGCAAGAGGCCUUGAAAUGUGGGCCUUGUUUUGAAAGCACAUGGGAUGGUGCUGCUUUGUUUGGCUAUGUGGUGAAUUUGCCCCAGAUGAGGUAGGCCAAGUUUAUUAUUUUUGUUUUGGUUGAAUUGUUUAUUUAAGGGGAUUUAUUUUGAUUGUAUGGGAAAAUUCUGUUUGUUUAUUUAGAUGCAGAUGAAUUGAGUAAUGCUAACUGGGUGUUUUUGACACUCUGAUCUGGAUAAAUGUUCAAAAAACCAACUGAUUGUUAUAUCUGCUAUUUGCCAAUGAAGGUAAAUGUAUUUAAUAUUUUUAAAUAAAAAUGAGUGUACAGUUGGUAACCAUGGUUUUAAAUGUUUAGUGUUUUUGUAGUGUUUUAGAUGUGGAUAAAACCUGGAAUGCUGAUUGGCUGCUUUUUGGGUAGCUGAUAAAGGUAAAGUUGUGUUUUUGGUAUCCUACUUUUAAGCUAAUAAAUGAAAUGGGGCAGUUGGUAACUGUGUUUAAGAAAAUGUUAAUGUUUGAAUAAAAUAAAUGAUGUAUUGUUAAUUUUUGUUUGUUUUUCUGUUUUAGUUAAGUCGAUUGCUGUUUCUCCCGUGUUGUUUUUGUUUAGUUCCCUGGUCGGCCGGUCUCAGAAGUGUGCUGCAUGGUGGCAGCAAGUGUACAUUGUGAACUGGUUGUGUACGAGUCCGGUUGGCUGGGGUUCUGUUAUCUUUUUCUUUUGUUUCUUUUUUUUAUUGAUGACCAUCUUCCCAGCCUUAUGUCAUUAGCUCGACUCAUUGUGAUUGUGAUUGUGUUCUGUGUGUGCAUCCCUUUGGGGUAUGAGAUCCAUGUUUGCUGUGGUUGUUUUGAGUUAUGAGUGAAGGGUUAGGUUUGGAGUUGUUUUCUAUUUUGAAUUGUGGUGUUUAUUUCCAUUGAUUUCUCUUUUUUUUCCUUUUUACUGUCAUUAAAAAAUGGAUGUUUCCUUAUACCUUAAAGGUUUGCCACACGCACCGUAACCAGCUACUAUGGAGAGUUUUUGAGCUGGUGGUUAACAUCUUUGAGAGCUGAGAUUAAUUUUGAAUGAGUUAUGUAAAUAAAUCAUUUCAUUUCUAUGUUUAAUUGUGUACAUUAUUUGUGCUUUAUUGUUUGUAAUAAACCUUUUUUGUUGUACUUUGA